rnacentral:rRNA from 1 species
AACGAACGCUGGCGGCAUGCCUAACACAUGCAAGUCGAACGAGACCUUCGGGUCUAGUGGCGCACGGGUGCGUAACGCGUGGGAACCUGCCCUUAGGUUCGGAAUAACUCCCCGAAAGGGGUGCUAAUACCGGAUAAUGUCUUCGGACCAAAGAUUUAUCGCCUUUGGUUGGGCCCGCGUUGGAUUAGCUAGUUGGUAGGGUAAAAGCCUACCAAGGCGACGAUCCAUAGCUGGUCUGAGAGGAAGAUCAGCCACACUGGGACUGAGACACGGCCCAGACUCCUACGGGAGGCAGCAGUGGGGAAUAUUGGACAAUGGGCGAAAGCCUGAUCCAGCAAUGCCGCGUGAGUGAUGAAGGCCUUAGGGUUGUAAAGCUCUUUUACCCGGGAUGAUAAUGACAGUACCGGGAGAAUAAGCUCCGGCUAACUCCGUG